UACGAAGGGGGCUAGCGUUGCUCGGAAUCACUGGGCGUAAAGCGCACGUAGGCGGCUUUCUAAGUCAGGGGUGAAAUCCUGGAGCUCAACUCCAGAACUGCCUUUGAUACUGGAGAGCUCGAGUCCGGAAGAGGUGAGUGGAACUCCGAGUGUAGAGGUGAAAUUCGUAGAUAUUCGGAAGAACACCAGUGGCGAAGGCGGCUCACUGGGCUGACCUUGACGCUGAGGCGCGAAGGCGUGGGGAGCGAACGGG
rnacentral:rRNA from 1 species